rnacentral:rRNA from 1 species
GGGCUCGCAGGCGGUUUCUUAAGUCUGAUGUGAAAGCCCCCGGCUCAACCGGGGAGGGUCAUUGGAAACUGGGGAACUUGAGUGCAGAAGAGGAGAGUGGAAUUCCACGUGUAGCGGUGAAAUGCGUAGAGAUGUGGAGGAACACCAGUGGCGAAGGCGACUCUCUGGUCUGUAACUGACGCUGAGGAGCGAAAGCGUGGGGAGCGAACAGGAUUAGAUACCCUGGUAGUCCACGCCGUAAACGAUGAGUGCUAAGUGUUAGGGGGUUUCCGCCCCUUAGUGCUGCAGCUAACGCAUUAAGCACUCCGCCUGGGGAGUACGGUCGCAAGACUGAAACUCAAAGGAAUUGACGGGGGCCCGCACAAGCGGUGGAGCAUGUGGUUUAAUUCGAAGCAACGCGAAGAACCUUACCAGGUCUUGACAUCCUCUGACAAUCCUAGAGAUAGGACGUCCCCUUCGGGGGCAGAGUGACAGGUGGUGCAUGGUUGUCGUCAGCUCGUGUCGUGAGAUGUUGGGUUAAGUCCCGCAACGAGCGCAACCCUUGAUCUUAGUUGCCAGCAUUCAGUUGGGCACUCUAAGGUGACUGCCGGUGACAAACCGGAGGAAGGUGGGGAUGACGUCAAAUCAUCAUGCCCCUUAUGACCUGGGCUACACACGUGCUACAAUGG